rnacentral:rRNA from 1 species
GUGCUUAACACAUGCAAGUCGAACGAGAAUCUGCGGAACGAGGAUUCGUCCAAGUGAAGCAGAGGACAGUGGCGGACGGGUGAGUAACGCGUGAGGAACCUGCCUUUCAGAGGGGGGACAACAGUUGGAAACGACUGCUAAUACCGCAUGACACAUAGAUGUCGCAUGGCAUUUAUGUCAAAGAUUUAUCGCUGAAAGAUGGCCUCGCGUCUGAUUAGCUAGUUGGUGAGGUUAAACGGGCCCCACCAAGGCGACGAUCAGUAGCCGGACUGAGAGGUUGAACGGCCACAUUGGGACUGAGAUACGGCCCAGACUCCUACGGGAGGCAGCAGUGGGGAAUAUUGGGCAAUGGGCGCAAGCCUGACCCAGCAACGCCGCGUGAAGGAAGAAGGCUUUCGGGUUGUAAACUUCUUUUGUCAGGGACGAGCAGAAGACGGUACCUGACGAAUAAGCCACGGCUAACUACGUG